rnacentral:rRNA from 1 species
AGAGUUUGAUCUGGCUCAGGACGAACGCUGGCGGCGUGCUUAACACAUGCAAGUCGAGCGGAAAGGCCCUUCGGGGUACUCGAGCGGCGAACGGGUGAGUAACACGUGGGCAACCUGCCCCUAGCUCUGGGAUAACUCCGGGAAACCGGUGCUAAUACCGGAUAUGACUUCUCCUGGCAUCUGGAGGGGUGGAAAGUUUUUCGGCUAGGGAUGGGCCCGCGGCCUAUCAGCUUGUUGGUGGGGUAAUGGCCCACCAAGGCGACGACGGGUAGCCGGCCUGAGAGGGCGACCGGCCACACUGGGACUGAGACACGGCCCAGACUCCUACGGGAGGCAGCAGUGGGGAAUAUUGCGCAAUGGGCGAAAGCCUGACGCAGCGACGCCGCGUGAGGGAUGAAGGCCUUCGGGUUGUAAACCUCUUUCAGCAGGGACGAAGCGCAAGUGACGGUACCUGCAGAAGAAGCACCGGCCAACUACGUGCCAGCAGCCGCGGUAAUACGUAGGGUGCAAGCGUUGUCCGGAAUUAUUGGGCGUAAAGAGCUCGUAGGCGGUCUGUCGCGUCGGCUGUGAAAUCUCGGGGCUCAACCCCGAGCCUGCAGUCGAUACGGGCAGACUAGAGUGCUGUAGGGGAGACUGGAAUUCCUGGUGUAGCGGUGAAAUGCGCAGAUAUCAGGAGGAACACCGGUGGCGAAGGCGGGUCUCUGGGCAGUAACUGACGCUGAGGAGCGAAAGCGUGGGGAGCAAACAGGAUUAGAUACCCNNGUAGUCC